rnacentral:rRNA from 1 species
GACGAACGCUGGCGGCGUGCUUAACACAUGCAAGUCGAACGAGGUCCAUGGAGUAGCAAUACUCCGGAAGACCUAGUGGCGAACGGGUGCGUAACACAUGAGGAACUUGUCCCGGUCUCUGGGAUAACAGUUGGAAACGACUGCUAAUACCGGAUGACGUCGGAGCGUCGCAUGGCGCGCAGACGAAAGGGUUACUGGAUCGGGAGAGCCUCGCGGCCUAUCAGCUUGUUGGGGGGGUAACGGCCUACCAAGGCAUCGACGGGUAGCUGGUCUGAGAGGAUGAUCAGCCACACUGGGACUGAGACACGGCCCAGACUCCUACGGGAGGCAGCAGUGGGGAAUCUUGCGCAAUGGGCGAAAGCCUGACGCAGCAACGCCGCGUGCGGGAAGAAGGCUCUCGGGUUGUAAACCGCUUUCAGCAGGAACGAAAAUGACGGUACUUGCAGAAGAAGGUGCGGCCAACUACGUGCCAGCAGCCGCUGUAAGAC